rnacentral:misc_RNA from 1 species
UCCGGUUUAACACCGGCGGUCUCCAUAGAGUGCCCAACUUAAUGGUGGCAACUAGGGAUAGGGGUUGCGCUCGUUAAGGGACUUAACCCGACAUCUCACGAUACGAGCUGACGACAGCCAUGCAGCACCUAAACUAGAGGUCCCCGAAGGGAAAACCGUAUCUCUACGGCGGUCCUCUAUUGUCUAACCCAGGUAAGGUUCUUCGCGUUGCAUCGAAUUAAACCACAUGCUCCACCGCUUGUGCGGGCCCCCGUCAAUUCCUUUGAGUUUUAACCUUGCGGCCGUACUUCCCAGGCGGGGUACUUAAUGCGUUAGCUUCGGCACUGCAGGGGUCAAUUCCCGCAACACCUAGUACCCAUCGUUUACGGCGUGGACUAC